AAUGCAGAAAGAUAUGGCCAAUUCAUUGAAGGUGACGACAUGCAGGUGUGACUGUAUACACGACUGUUACUGCUGCCUGGGUAUUAUCAUUAUGUGAGCAAGAAACACGUCUGGAUUAUAAUUUGGACACACAUGUACAGCUGUUUUGUGAAUAUGAUAAAUUAUGUGUGCUAUAUUUGCAUUUUUUAUGGGUUUUUAGAUGUUUAAUGUUCAAUACAUCAGACAAACUCUGAAGUUUUUUUUUUUAAAUAGAAUAUUAAUUUAUAAAACAAAAUCCCAUGAACUACAACCAUAUGUUUAUAGCUUUACACUUCAAGAACAACUAUUUUUGUGUAUUAUGAUUAUAUAUUUGUUAAUGAGAUACAAUUUUGAGUUGAAAUAUGAAUUUUGUUAUGCCAGCGUAAUAUUUGAUUUUGGUCUGUAAAUAAGAAAUUAUUGGAAAUGCAAGAGAUUCGCUUAUGAGUUGGAAUGUUUUAAAUUUUGUCACGCCGGCAUAACAUUUUAAAUUUUUGUCUGUAAAUAGGAAAUGUUUGGACAUUUAUCAGCCAUUCACUUUCUGUAGAAAUGUUAUGAAUCUUGUUACGCUUGUAUAGCAUUUAGGUUUGGGUCUGUGAAUAUGAAAUUAUUGGAAAUACAAGAGAUUAACUUAUGAGUUGAAAUGUUUGGAUUUUUGUUAAGCUGGCAUAUUAUUUUGAAUUUGGGUCUGUAAAAAGCAAUGAUAGGAAACUUGAGAGCAAUGCACUUUCUGUGGAAAUAUUACUUAUUUUGUUAUGCCGGCUUAACAUUUGAGAUUGGGUCUGUAAAUAAGUAAUUAUUUGAAAUGCAAGCAAUUUACUUUUAAUUUAAAAUGUUUGGAAUUUUGUUACGCUGGCAUAACAUUUUAUGUUUUAGUCUGUAAAUAAGAAAUCAUUCGAAAUGCAAGUGAUUCACUUUGAGUUGAAAUGUUUGGAAUUUUGUCACACUGGCAUAACAUGAUUUACAGUUUUGGUCUGGAAAUAAGAAAUCAUUAGGAAUGCAAGCGAUUCACCUUUGAGUUAAAAUGUAAUGAAUUUUGUUAAGCUGGCGUAACAUUUUUUUUGUUUUCAAAAAAUUAGCAUGUCGAAAUUAUCACAAAAAAACCCUGUAAAACACCCCUUUUAAUUGGGAUUCAUGGACAUUCCAUUUUUAAAAUAGACAGAUUUUUAUGAAUUUUGUGAGUUUGUACCGCCAGCGUAACAUUUAAAGUGGAAUGAUUUAUUUGGUGAUGUUAUAAUGAACCUUUGUGAGUUUGUACCGCCAGCGUAACAUUUUCAAAGAAUUAUCUGUCUAUGUGAUUAUGAA